UUGGGUGACAUUUGUAGAUGU
rnacentral:miRNA from 1 species